rnacentral:ncRNA from 1 species
UUUUAUCGCUAGGGGUGCCUUGUGCUGAGAGGAACCAUCCAACCCUUGAACCUGUAGGUUAGUACCUGCGCAGGAAAGCAAGUUCCGUAUGUG